rnacentral:rRNA from 1 species
CCUAUAAGACUGGGAUAACUUCGGGAAACCGGAGCUAAUACCGGAUAAGAUUUUGAACCGCAUGGUUCAAUAGUGAAAGACGGCCUUGCUGUCACUUAUAGAUGGAUCCGCGCCGUAUUAGCUAGUUGGUAAGGUAACGGCUUACCAAGGCAACGAUACGUAGCCGACCUGAGAGGGUGAUCGGCCACACUGGAACUGAGACACGGUCCAGACUCCUACGGGAGGCAGCAGUAGGGAAUCUUCCGCAAUGGGCGAAAGCCUGACGGAGCAACGCCGCGUGAGUGAUGAAGGUCUUCGGAUCGUAAAACUCUGUUAUCAGGGAAGAACAAACGUGUAAGUAACUGUGCACGUCUUGACGGUACCUGAUCAGAAAGCCACGGCUAACUACGUGCCAGCAGCCGCGGUAAUACGUAGGUGGCAAGCGUUAUCCGGAAUUAUUGGGCGUAAAGCGCGCGUAGGCGGUUUUUUAAGUCUGAUGUGAAAGCCCACGGCUCAACCGUGGAGGGUCAUUGGAAACUGGAAAACUUGAGUGCAGAAGAGGAAAGUGGAAUUCCAUGUGUAGCGGUGAAAUGCGCAGAGAUAUGGAGGAACACCAGUGGCGAAGGCGACUUUCUGGUCUGUAACUGACGCUGAUGUGCGAAAGCGUGGGGAUCAAACAGGAUUAGAUACCCUGGUAGUCCACGCCGUAAACGAUGAGUGCUAAGUGUUAGGGGGUUUCCGCCCCUUAGUGCUGCAGCUAACGCAUUAAGCACUCCGCCUGGGGAGUACGACCGCAAGGUUGAAACUCAAA